rnacentral:rRNA from 1 species
UACGAAGGGGGCUAGCGUUGCUCGGAAUCACUGGGCGUAAAGGGUGCGUAGGCGGGGUUUUAAGUCAGGGGUGAAAUCCUGGAGCUCAACUCCAGAACUGCCUUUGAUACUGAAGAUCUCGAGUCCGGGAGAGGUGAGUGGAACUGCGAGUGUAGAGGUGAAAUUCGUAGAUAUUCGCAAGAACACCAGUGGCGAAGGCGGCUCACUGGCCCGGUACUGACGCUGAGGCACGAAAGCGUGGGGAGCAAACAGG